rnacentral:rRNA from 1 species
ACUCCUACGGGAGGCAGCAGUAGGGAAUCUUCCACAAUGGGCGCAAGCCUGAUGGAGCAACACCGCGUGAGUGAAGAAGGGUUUCGGCUCGUAAAGCUCUGUUGUUAAAGAAGAACACGUAUGAGAGUAACUGUUCAUACGUUGACGGUAUUUAACCAGAAAGUCACGGCUAACUACGUGCCAGCAGCCGCGGUAAUACGUAGGUGGCAGGCGUUAUCCGGAUUUAUUGGGCGUAAAGAGAGUGCAGGCGGUUUUCUAAGUCUGAUGUGAAAGCCUUCGGCUUAACCGGAGAAGUGCAUCGGAAACUGGAUAACUUGAGUGCAGAAGAGGGUAGUGGAACUCCAUGUGUAGCGGUGGAAUGCGUAGAUAUAUGGAAGAACACCAGUGGCGAAGGCGGCUACCUGGUCUGCAACUGACGCUGAGACUCGAAAGCAUGGGUAGCGAACAGGAUUAGAUACCCUGGUAGGAUACCG